GAAAGAUGAGUCAGCAAAAAAUAAAGGAGGCCGAUCCUGACUAGCUAGCUAGCAAGUCCUGGGACAGGAAGCAAGAAUAUGAACCUGUCAGUCUCACUCUCGGUACCCAUGCUCACGGAAGUUCCUCCCACUCAACUGCCCAGACAGCCUCCACCUACCCACGUGAUAACACUGCCAUCUCUCUAGAUGUGAAGUCGUGCUCCUGUGGCCACAACUAGCCUAGCACAGUUUCAGGAAUGCAGCAAGAACUCCAGCAGAAUAUGAACAGAACAGAGCGAGAGGACAGACGUCAUCCCCAUGUCAAAGGCUGCUUAAUGAUCCAAAGAAACUACACAGAUGCUUCAGCUAUUACGGCAGUGAAUGUCAAAAGGAAUGGGUGUUCCCUAUUUGUUGGCAUGAGUAACUGUGCCACCCUGGACCUCGGCCAAGCAGAAGGCCAUCACCCAGUGUAGUCAGAACCAUAGACAAAAAUAAUCCUUCAUAACAUUUUGAAAAGUUGAAACCCCAUGCAGACACACACACACACACACACACACACAC